rnacentral:rRNA from 1 species
AUUGAACGCUGGCGGCAUGCCUUACACAUGCAAGUCGAACGGCAGCACGGACUUCGGUCUGGUGGCGAGUGGCGAACGGGUGAGUAAUGUAUCGGAACGUACCUUUCAGUGGGGGAUAACGUAGCGAAAGUUACGCUAAUACCGCAUAUUCUGUGAGCAGGAAAGCAGGGGAUCGCAAGACCUUGCGCUGAUUGAGCGGCCGAUAUCAGAUUAGCUAGUUGGUGGGUAAAGGCCUACCAAGGCUACGAUCUGUAGCGGGUCUGAGAGGAUGAUCCGCCACACUGGAACUGAGACACGGUCCAGACUCCUACGGGAGGCAGCAGUGGGGAAUUUUGGACAAUGGGGGCAACCCUGAUCCAGCCAUGCCGCGUGAGUGAAGAAGGCCUCGGUUGU